UUCACAUGACUUCCACUGCGUGUGACUGACUGACCCGCAUUCCUCAAUUGGCAGCAGCUCUUCUGUCAUACUGACUCGUUUUAGGGGCGAAUAAACACUAACAGUGGAUGCAAACGCUCUCCAUCGCUGUCCUGGGUGUGAUAUGUAGAUAAUAAACUACAUCUUUAUGUUUUGUAAGUGCCAAACAGCUGAUCGUCUGCGGCGCGGCGGAGGAUUUGUAACAUCUCUGAGCUAAAAUCUUCAGUUCUACUUUUUUUUGUGCAUCUUCCAGACUGUCGGGUUGGAAAUACAUGGAUGCAAAGAUAACUGAUGACUGAGCGACAACUGGCUGUUUCUGAGCUUCGUGUCGGCGAUGGCUGAGCUUCUUAUUCCUCCAGACUCGAGAAGGUGUAGUUAUUUCUUCCUCUAUGAUGGAUCCAGAGUCAGAGGAGAGGGCGACCCUACAAGAGAGGGAAUCUGCUACUUCUACCCGGAAGAGACCCCUUUAGAUAAGCAGGAGCUGCUUUGCGGUCAGCUUGCCGGCGCUUGCCGCUGUGUCUCUGAACUCUCCUCCUCCCCUGUGCGCAUACUGAGGCUGCGCCGCAACACGUUCGCCAUCCGUAUGAAAGAUGACUUCUUUUGGGCUCUGGGCUGCUCAGUCGAAGUCCCCACCGUCAGCGUCUGUGAGCUCCUGGAUCAGCUCAUAAACCUCUUUUGUUUCUACAAUGGCUCUGUCCGACAGAGCUACCAGCUCAACAGUCGGGAAACUCUGGCUAAUCGUUGGGCGCUGUACCUCUCACACCUACAGUCAGGAUCCUCAGAUCUUCAUCACGUCUUCAGCUGCUUGAGAACCAUCGACUCGACUAAUGUUGACCCACUUCUCCUUCUCAAAGCUGCCCUCAUUCUUCAGGCCUGUCAGCGCUGCCCUCUAGUGUCAGCAGGCUGUAUUCUUUUCAGAGGACGAGUUGUGAGCACACAGAUGUCUCCAGACCUCACAAUGAAGGUGAUGGUUCAUGAGAGUGAAACAUACACCAAGGCCCAGAAACCCAACGGGCCGAGUACCUUCAGCUCAUUUGGCGGUGCCAUCAGCUCCACUACCGUGUUCCUGACAAUGUCUGAACUCCAGUACCUGCAAUCUGCCCCCGUCGACAAAGACUUCAGUUCCCACUCUACUCCGCACAAAACCAUCCCCCCGAAGAAGACCCGCCUGUCAAGAACGUUAUCUGACACUCCCUCCACUGAGUCGGAGCCAUCUGACCCAGGUUCCUCCCAGUCCUCCCAGAGGUUAUCCCUCAGCCCUCGCUUGUCAGACAGCUCCAUGCUUCCAUUGCAGAGCGCCGCUGAUUCCUCACCGCCGUCGCUCAAGCCUCCUUUCUCAAACGGGAAACACUCCCCCGAAGCUGAGGAAGAAGUGCUGGAAGAGUCGCAUUAUCACAGCUUUCACAGCAACGGAGGCGGAGUCAGUCCGAUGCAUAACGAAGGAGACGGCUCAUUGUUGGGAGAAAACUCCCAUCUAAAUGGAGGUGGAGGCGGAGGAGAUGGUGAUGGAGACGCAGGACACUGUGGUACAGCGUUUGACCUCAGAGGGGCUGAGGAAUCCCACGACGGUGAGGUUUCGGAAGAGGCUGACAGAAGUGGCGGCUGUGGGAGUGUCCAGGGCCACGAGGCGGAGAUACCAGAUCCUCCUACUUGCUCUGGUGCUUUUGACCGCCCAGAGGAGUGUCCGCUGAUUCCCAUGACGCUGUACGUGCACCGGGUCAAAGGCCUGGUGCUGGCUCUGCUGGUGGAGCCGCACUUCUCGAGCGACACAGCUUCUGUGGAGGAAGUGUAUCACAGCAGCCUGGCGUCACUCAACGGACUAGAGGCCCAUCUGAGGACUAUCUCUCCAGCGGCCCCGGGCGCUCCAGGACCCUACAUAUUUGCCCAUUUUGACUGCAUUCAGAGCACGAUGACAAUUUCCCAGUUUCCUUCUAGACCAACCUGUCUGGUCGACCAGGGGGAGCCCCGGAGCGUCCUUUUGUGAGAGCCACAUCGCUUCUUCACUCGCAUUUCUGUAACACUGGAACUCUGCAGGAGGCUAUUAUCAGGAGUGCCGGAGCUGCUGUGUAUGGAACCCGCAGCGUGGCCCAGGAGACUUACUUCCAGCAGCACGGGGGAUCGCUGAGGAACUCCGGCAUCCCCAACCACCAGGACAGUGCCUUCUCGCUGCCCGGCAAGGCCCGACACAGACUGAUGAAACACGGGGUCAACCUGCUCUGACGGGACGGCGGCGGCGUGACAUCUGCUCUCAGUACUCAAGAGGAGCUGUAUUUCGUUGAACUGCCCUGUGAGUAAUAUUAAAAUCAACAGAGAACAUAACUUAAAGAUUCCUCUGUGGUUCACUUGUUCCCACAGCAGAUUGUACGAUGCUAGCACACCUUAUAGCACUCACAUUCAUAGCAGAACUUUUUUUUUAAAUUGUAUAAUAAAUGACAGAGAAGAUGGUUGGUAAAGGUUUUGCUGAGUAAGUUUUGUUUAUAAUGAAGUUUUAAUUUCACCUAUUCCCGUGCUUGUUUGGGUCCAAUUUGUCUGAAUUUUAUUUCUGUUCGCUCAAACACAUUACCUUUUGUAUUGAGAAGCAACAUUUGUUGCCGUAUUAAGCUCUUGUUUACACACAUUUUGCACCCUUUUCACCUUUACAGAUAUUUUCCGUUCAGUCACGUCCUCAACGCAGCGAAUGUAGUAAUUCCUCUUACUUGUAUUUAUUCAUUUAAUAGGAAAUGUAGACUAAAGCAAGAUUAAAUCUACUUUGUGUAUUUGUACAGAAUCAUUCUUUUCCUUGCUGCACACAAAACUGUAUUACACAAAUUUAUAAAAUAAUCCAAAAAAUAGUUUUUUUUAUAAAAAAUGUCUAUUUAUUUGAAAUCAACUCUUUGGUAGCAUAAAAAUGUUAUUUAACUAUUCGGCUCUUAGAUCUAGUGUGUGUUUUUUUUUGUUUUUGAAUGUGUCAUUUGUUAAAAAAGAAAGAAAGAAAAGAAUGCCUGCAUUGUAAUGUUUGCUGAGUUGAGAUCCACUGUGAUACUGUAGUGCAUUAUUAGUGGGAAUUAAAUGAAUACAUGAUCCUCUCA